GUCCACCGAUUCCAAUCCCAAUCUAACGAUGUCGAAGAAGAAGAAGAAGAAGCGAAGCAAGUAUUGUUACAAUUUUCAUCAGCAGAAGGAGUUGCGGUGUUGUUUACAGUAACGCAUCGGCAACAAAGCCUGGAGUUUUUGGGGUUUUUAAGAAAUGAUUUAUUUGGAAAAUUAACGAAAUAAGUAGAAGAAGGUGAUGAAGAAGAUAGCGAAGGACGGACGGUGACGUGUCCCGCCGCAGCCCAAGCGUUGGCCAUCGCCAUAUUUACUCUUCUUCUUCUUCUUCGAAGAGAUCUUCUAUGGAGUCUUUGGAAAUGGUGUUU
rnacentral:misc_RNA from 1 species